UUUGCAAAUGGUUGGCAUAGUUGUUACUAGCUGAGCUGUAGUUUAUCUGCACUCCAAUCGGGUGCUACAAAAAGAUCUUAAGGGGACUUUAGACUUGCAAAACUACUCAAUACAGAAGACCUUGCUUCAUCAUCAUCGCAGAGGUUUUUAAACAUGCAGACUAUAUUAAAGAAGAGAGAGGCCAGCAGAAAGAUGUCGGGUCAAUUGCUGUCCUAUUAGGGGAUCGUCUCUUUGUUGCUAAUGUUGAAUAGUCCAGAGUAGUUGCAUCUAGAGUUGGUUCAGGUUGCCUAUUAUUUUUUUCUGUCAAUAGAUG